GACGGUUGGGAGUGGGAGGCCUCGGCGCUGUUCUCUGGAUGCAACUGAGAUUGCCGCUAGAGGGUGACGCCUGGGUCGGAAUCCAAGGAUUUGUGAAGAGGUGACCCAAAUUUCAAGACAAUGUUGGAUGCAAACGGAUUUGCCAGCAACUGCAUCACUGUCAAAACCAGCUCUGCCCGUGUCUUCCGAAGAUACCAAGUGAAAUACAUGUAGAUGGGAUUUACAUCUGAAAAACCAAGGCAAGAGGCCAUGGGAAGGGACGGAGGUGGAACAGGACUGGACAGAAGCUGAUAAAUGGUUGUUGCUGAGUACUGGGCAGAUAGGGGUUGGUUAUCCUAUUGUCUUUACUUUCAUAUAUUUUAUUUUUUCUGUAAUAAAACAAAUUAAAAUCACCUGUCGUGACCUCACAGGGGCCAGUGUGGGUUGUGGCGUGAGGCAGGAAGCUCUGCAGAGUUCCUUGGUCAAAAGGAUUAAUUACAAAAGAACUCCAUGAACACCGAGAAGAAGAGAAGGGAAUCCUGGCAUUUAAAGCCACAAAGAAACUUGAUAUGGUCUUGUCUCCUUCUCUCAAUUGACAGUGAGAAACUGAAGACCAGAGAGGGUGAGUGGUUUACUCAGUUUGGCACAACUGACCCCAACCUAGCCCUCCAUGAGGACUGAGCGCAUGAGAGAUCCUGAGCCACAGCCGCCCAGCCCUGCUCCUCUCGAAUUUCUGACCUACAGGAACUGCAAGAAGUAAUGAAAGACUGCUGUUUAAAGCCACUGCAUUUUGGCAUGAUUUGUUAUGCAGUCGUAGAUAACCAGAAAACAUCGGAUUUACAUUUUAAGGUAAACUUUUUAUUGAAACAUCACAUACACACAGAGACGUCCACCAAUUGGCUCGAUGAGCUUUCUCAAAGGAAACACAUUCUCUGAGCAGUGUGCACAUCCAGACACAUCAUCUCCAUCCUCCAGAAGCCCCCUCCUGUUAUCGCCACUCACAGGUCACCCGUCUCCUGACUUGCAGCCACAGAGAUAGUCCUGCCUAAUUCUGAACGUGGUACAAACGGAAUCAUACAGAAUGGGCUUGGCUUCUUUCACUCUGGGCUGUGUUUAUGAGCAUCACCCAGAUUGCUGCAUGGAAGCCAUCGUUUGUUCAUUUUCACCACCAUAGAGUAUUCUACUGUUGAUGGGACAUAGGCUAUUUAUUCCUUCUACUGUUGAGGGACGCAUAGUUAUUUCCAGCUGGAGACUGGUAUAUGUCUCUUGGCUACCUUCUGCAUGCAUUUCUGUUGGAGGUUGUUUCAGGUAUCUCUUAACGUAUAACAGACCACCCUCAAAUUGAGUCCUUGAAACAAUUACCAUUUUCUUCUUUCUCAGGAUUUGGUGCAUGGGAUGGGCUCAGUUGGGCAGUUCUUCUGUUCCAUGUGAUGGUACUGGGGCUGCAGUCAUUCAGAGGCUCAACUGGGCUGAACGUGCAAGGUUUCUUGCUCACGUGGCCAUCAGUGGUGCUGGCUGCUGUUGGGAGCUCCACUGGACUUCUGUCCAGAGCUCCUCAGCUCACCUCUCUGUAUCCUUGCCCUGUGGCUCAGGCUUCUAACAAUACAGAGGCUGGAUUCCAAGAGGAGGGAAUUAGAAGCGUUCAGCCUUCUUAAGACCAGGAUUCAGAUGUCCCAGACUGUCACUGUAUUGACCGGAGCAUUUACAGGCCAGCCUAGUAAUUUUUCCAUCUUGGGCAGGAAUGGGUGGCAUAUGCUGGGGGUAGGGGUAGCAUUGUUGGGGAUCAUCUUUGGAGCUGUGUGCCAAGGAGUAAAUUGCUGGGCUGCUUUCUACCUGAGGAAGUCCACUAUGCUUGCUUGUGGAGAGUGGAUUGUGUGCUCAGAGUCCACAAGGAUUUAAGAAUCCGAGCCCUGCUGCCCUUGCCUCAGCCUGUGCAUUAGGGCCCGGUGGUGAGAGCACUGAGCCAUUGUGAAUCAAGGCCCCUCCCUCGACCUGCAUACUAACAGGCCAGAAGAGCUUGCUUGAUUUUGGUCCUAGGCUCCUGCCUGUGGGUUGGAUUCCAGGGGCACUCUCUCCUCCACAAACCAGACGGUGGCAGGUACAUCCCCUCAAUGGAAAUUGCCCACACUUCACCCUAAAGACAGAUCCUGCUGUUCAGCAACAAUGUGAGUGGCCCACACAUUUGUCCAGCAUGAAACCGUUUGCAGAUUCCUUUCCAGUACACAGUCCCGUCAGCCGGUCACUUCACGAUGACAGCUCCUCGAAGCACCUUUUGGUUUGCAGUUGUGUAGCUUAGAAGUAGGAGCCUGCACGGCUUCAGGAAUUCACAGAAGGAGCACACUUUGUGCUUGGAGAAGUUAAUUAUAGGAAUAUCCUGCAACCUGCUGCUCUGAGCCUGUGCACCUGGGGUGUUUCCCUGGAGGUCCUGUGUAUGAGGAUACUCAUCAGCAUGGGGUUUGGGAAGCCUAGCAGUGGAGACAACCUAGGUGGUCCUCUCCAGGGGAGUAGGUAAGAGCCCUACAGCAGUGAAAAGCAUUGAAGGAAAAGUGUGUUCAGCAGUGCUCUUAAUCUGAUCAGAGCAGCCUGAACACAUUCUAAACACAGGGCAUUUAGAACUAGGGUAGAGGCACUAGAGCACCAUAGAUACAAACUCAGAUUCUGAAGGUAAAUGCCCAGGUUCAAAUCCAAGCCCCCUCGCCAAGUGACCAUGACUCCCCCGAGUCACCUGACCUCUGUGUUUACAUCCUCAAAGUUAAGUAGUCAGGAAAGGGGGCUUGGGGCUUGCCACAUGGAUGGUUGCCACUCUCCUUUGCAAAGUGUAGUCCCCAAAAACAGGUGGAAGAGGGAAGGGUCCAAUUAGAAGGCCGAGUACCAGCUGCCAUGAAUAUGCCAGAGCUGCUGGCUAGUGAUAAAUAACUGAAACCCAGGGGGACAGCAGAGCUUGGGUGACCAUACAUUCUAGGAAAGAAAACAUGCCUGUUGUCCUGGCUUUUUAUCCAGCUUAGACAAAGAUGGGCAAAGAAAAUAAUUUAGAAAAUGGUAGAGAUGGGCACAGAGAAAGGGCACGGAGGGAGGCACAAACAGAAGGCCAAGUGAUGGUGGAGGCAGACAUUGGAGAAAUGCCUUUACAAGCCGGGGAAUGCCAAGGAUGCUGGCAACCCUGGGAGUGGGAAGAACCUGGAACACACCCUCCGUCAGAGUCUCCAGAAGGAACUGGCCCUUCAUCACCUUUCGGACUUCUGGCCUCCAGAACUGGGCAAGAAAAUGUUUCUGCUGUUGGAGGCCAUCCAGCUGGUGGUCAUUUGUUAUGGUUGCCACAGAAAACGAAUAUAGAUUUAGACAUCUAAUUUGCAUAUAUAGAUAUGCAUGUGUAUUUGUUAAAUAAAAGAUAAAGCAUGAC
rnacentral:lncRNA from 10 species